UACGAAGGGUGCAAGCGUUAAUCGGAAUUACUGGGCGUAAAGCGUGUGUAGGCGGUUUCUUAAGUCUGCUGUGAAAUCCCCGGGCUCAACCUGGGAAUGGCAGUGGAUACUGGGAAGCUAGAGUGUGAUAGAGGAUGGGUGGAAUUCCCGGUGUAAGCGGUGAAAUGCGUAGAGAUCGGGAGGAACAUCAGUGGCGAAGGCGGCCAUCUGGAUCAACACUGACGCUGAGACACGAAAGCGUGGGGAGCAAAACAGG
rnacentral:rRNA from 1 species